CGCAUUACACAAGGGGAUAGCCGUUGGAAACGACGAAUAAUACCCUAUGAAACUAUCACUUCGCAUGAAGCGAUAGUCAAAGUGUUAGCGGUGUAAGAUGGACUUGCGUCUGAUUAGCUAGUUGGUGAGAAAAAAGCCCACCAAGGCAACGAUCAGUAGCCGGCUUGAGAGAGUGUACGGCCACAUUGGGACUGAGACACGGCCCAG
rnacentral:rRNA from 1 species